rnacentral:tRNA from 1 species
UCCUGGUUAGCUCAGUUGGUAAAGUUCUCCACUGGAAAUAAAGAGGUCCCUGGUUCGAUACCAGGACAAGGCG